rnacentral:rRNA from 1 species
GAUGAACGCUGGCGGCGUGCCUAAUACAUGCAAGUCGAGCGAACAGAUGAGGAGCUUGCUCCUCUGACGUUAGCGGCGGACGGGUGAGUAACACGUGGAUAACCUACCUAUAAGACUGGGAUAACUUCGGGAAACCGGAGCUAAUACCGGAUAAUAUAUUGAACCGCAUGGUUCAAUAGUGAAAGACGGUUUUGCUGUCACUUAUAGAUGGAUCCGCGCCGCAUUAGCUAGUUGGUAAGGUAACGGCUUACCAAGGCAACGAUGCGUAGCCGACCUGAGAGUGGAUCGGCCCAACCGGAAAAGGGAACCCGGCCAACACCCCGCGGGAGGCCAGCGUGGGGAACUUUCCCCAAAGGGGAAAAGCCCGGCGGGGAAACCGCGGGGGGGGUAAUAAAGGUUUUGGAGUGGAAAACUUUUUUUAUAGGGAAGAACAAAUUUGUAAGUAACUUUGCCCUUUUUGACGGUACCAAACCAAAAAGCCCCGGCUAACUCCGU